rnacentral:rRNA from 1 species
CCUACGGGUGGCAGCAGUGAGGAAUAUUGGUCAAUGGGCGCUAGCCUGAACCAGCCAAGUCGCGUGAAGGAUGACUGCACUAUGUGUUGUAAACUUCUUUUAUAUGGGAAUAAAGUGUAGUAUGUGUACUGCUAUGCAUGUACCUUAUGAAAUAGGAUCGGCUAACUCCGUGCCAGCAGCCGCGGUAAUACGGAGGAUCCGAGCGUUAUCCGGAUUUAUUGGGUUUAAAGGGUGCGUAGGCGGGUUGUUAAGUCAGUUGUGAAAGUUCGCGGCUCAACCGUAAAAUUGCAGUUGAUACUGGCAGUCUUGAGUACAAUAGAGGUAUGCGGAAUUCGCGGUGUAGCGGUGAA